rnacentral:rRNA from 1 species
GAGUUUGAUCCUGGCUCAGGAUGAACGCUAGCGACAGGCUUAACACAUGCAAGUCGAGGGGCAGCGGGGGAGGAAGCUUGCUUUCUCCUGCCGGCGACCGGCGCACGGGUGAGUAACACGUAUGCAACCUGGCCGUCACAGGUGGAUAACCGGAAGAAAUUCCGACUAAUACAGCAUAACACUCCUGAGGGACAUCCUUCGGGGGUCAAAGGAGGCGACUCCGGUGACGGAUGGGCAUGCGGCGCAUUAGGUAGUUGGUAGGGUAACGGCCUACCAAGCCGACGAUGCGUAGGGGUUCUGAGAGGAAGGUCCCCCACAUUGGAACUGAGACACGGUCCAAACUCCUACGGGAGGCAGCAGUGAGGAAUAUUGGUCAAUGGCCGGAAGGCUGAACCAGCCAAGUCGCGUGAGGGAAUAAGGCCCUAUGGGUCGUAAACCUCUUUUGUCAGGGAGCAAAGGCGUCCACGAGUGGACGAAAGGAGAGUACCUGAAGAAAAAGCAUCGGCUAACUCCGUGCCAGCAGCCGCGGUAAUACGGAGGAUGCGAGCGUUAUCCGGAUUUAUUGGGUUUAAAGGGUGCGUAGGCGGAGUGUCAAGUCAGCGGUAAAAUUUCGGGGCUC